rnacentral:rRNA from 1 species
AUGGCUAAAGCUAAUGUGGCACCUCAAGAUCAUAUGGUGCUAGAAGUGAAUGCACCUGAAGCCAAUGCUGCACCCGAAGCAAAUCCGCAGCUUGAAGACAAUGCCUCUGCUCCUGUACCACCUCCAAGACCUCACACCAUUGAGCAAGCAUAUUAUCGUGGUCAGCUUGUUACCGUCCGCUGGCCCAUUCUGGUUCCUCCGCCUGCUCCCGGACCUCAAUUUGACUAUCAUGUGGAGCACAGGCCUCAGGUCCAGAAGCCAAAGCCAAGGCUGCAAGGUUUCCAGGUACUACAACUUCACCAGGAUCUUUCAAUGCAAAUGGCUUCAUUGCACACAACACUUCCUUUGAUAGUGACAAGAACCCCUAAUCCAAGCCAAGAAUUUCAUCUGAUCGGUUCUGGAGCUAUCAGCAGCGCAGUUACUAUUCAUGUGUUCUCUAUGAUCAAGGGCGCAUCUUUCCCCACAUGCAUCUCGAUAGUGAAGCUAUUGCUGGACUGCCCUGCUUAG